rnacentral:rRNA from 1 species
GACAGAGGGUGCAAACGUUGUUCGGAAUUACUGGGCGUAAAGCGAGUGUAGGCGGUUCUCAAAGUCGGAUGUGAAAGCCCCGGGCUCAACCCGGGAAGUGCACCCGAUACUGGAGAGCUAGAGUGUCGGAGAGGUUGGUGGAAUUCUCGGUGUAGAGGUGAAAUUCGUAGAUAUCGAGAGGAACACCGGUGGCGAAGGCGGCCAACUGGACGAACACUGACGCUGAGACUCGAAAGCGUGGGGAGCGAACAGG